rnacentral:rRNA from 1 species
AUUGAACGCUGGCGGCAGGCUUAACCAUGCAAGUCGAGCGGGGGAAGGUAGCUUGCUACUGGACCUAGCGGCGGACGGGUGAGUAAUGCUUAGGAAUCUGCCUAUUAGUGGGGGACAACAUCUCGAAAGGGAUGCUAAUACCGCAUACGUCCUACGGGAGAAAGCAGGGGAUCUUCGGACCUUGCGCUAAUAGAUGAGCCUAAGUCGGAUUAGCUAGUUGGUGGGGUAAAGGCCUACCAAGGCGACGAUCUGUAGCGGGUCUGAGAGGAUGAUCCGCCACACUGGGACUGAGACACGGGCCAGACUCCUACGGGAGGCAACAGUGGGGGAAUAUUGGGCAUUGGGGGGAACCCUGAUCCAGCCAUGCCCCUUUUUUAAAAARGCCUAUUGUUUUAAGGCCUUUAAGSGAGGGGGGGGUCCCCAGUUAAACCAAGGGAARGGGCCUUCCCCCAAAUAAAACCGGUAACUUUUC